UACGGGGGGGGCAAGCGUUGUUCGGAUUCAUUGGGCGUAAAGGGUGUGUAGGUGGCGCGCUAAGUCGGGUGUGAAAUUUCGGAGCUUAACUCCGAAACUGCAUUCGAUACUGGCGUGCUUGAGGACUGGAGAGGAGACUGGAAUUCAUGGUGUAGCAGUGAAAUGCGUAGAGAUCAUGAGGAAGACCAGUGGCGAAGGCGGGUCUCUGGACAGUUCCUGACACUGAGACACGAAGGCCAGGGGAGCAAACGGG
rnacentral:rRNA from 1 species